AACUUUAUCCACCACCCCUCCACUCCAGCCUUGCUGACCUUACUGUUUCUUACUGUUCUUUCACAGAAGCCAAACAUUUCCCUAUUUAGUGCCUUUCCAUUGGCUGUCCCAUCUGCCUGGACUGGUCUUCCUGCAGGUGUAUCGAUCCAUUGCUUGAUAGUUGUGGAAUUUGCUGAGACCACCCACUUGAAUACCUGUUCAAAUGAAUGGAAUCUCACAGAGCAAACAAAAUCAUCUCUGACUUGUAGCCGUAGGGAUACAUUAGUACCUGUACCUCAUACUCAAUGGAAAAUCACCAGUUGUCUGGUGGAUAGUUUAGCACAUGUCAAAUCUGAGGUCCAGUGUAAUAGAAGAUCUCCUACCCAUCACUACUCCCUCUUUCCUCCUCAAUGUAACUCCUAUCUCCUGUCCUCUAACACAGGAGUUUAGUUGUGUCUCCUUUCCAACUUUAUAUAAAUAAAAUCAUUCUGUAUGAAUCUUGCAUCUGGUUUUUCUUGCUGCAUAUUAUGUUCGUGAAAUUCAUUCAUGUUACUGAAUUAAAAACUGUGGUUCAUUCAGUAUGACUGCUGCAUAGUAUUCCACUGUAUCAAUUUAUCACAAUAUAUUAUUUCUAGUUUUUCAUUUUUAUAAAUCAUGCUGCUCUGGACAUUUUUGGAAAUAUUUUUUGGCUUCCAUGACCCGUUUUCUGUAGAGUACAUACUUUGGAGAGCAAUAUCUGGGUCAUGGGUAUGUACAUGAUCAACUUUAGUAGAUAAUGUAAGCAGUUUCCCUAAAUCAUUGUCCCAGUUUGACUCCCACUAGCAAUAUAAGAGACAUCCCCUACAUACAUAUCCAUGUCACACUUGGGAUUCUCUCUUUUUUCUAUUUUAGUUAUUCUCCUUGUUAAGUAGUAGUAUCUCACUGAGGUUUUAAUUUGCAUCUUUUCUGACUACAAAUAAGAUUGAGAAUAUGCAGAUAUUCUGAGAGAUCCCCCAGCCAAUGAGAGAUUCCAAACGGAAUAGAGAGUGCUGAGAAGACAAAAGCACAUGUAGUCUGAUAAGGGCAUGGUCUGAUAUGGGAGAAAUUUCGGUGGAUAGCGGAGGAAGCAGAUGGUGAGUAUCAGUUGCAGCCCUGGGACUGGUGCGGGGUGUGUAGUUCUUCCUAUUAACUUCCCCUUUUGUAGAUUUCCCUGGGAAGAGAUGCCUCCUGGUACAGUGGAGGAACUGCUCCUUGAAUGUAUAUGAGGAAGUGGAUUCAAGUUGCACUAGGGCUAGAUUGUGGUAGAAACACAGAUGUGCAUCCCGGAAGGAUAAGUUGUCCCAGUUGCCUGUAGUGCUACCGGUAGAUAGCCUCUAAGGCUCAGCUCCUUCAGGGAUUGUUUUAGCUGCAGAGGUGCAACUUAAACACGUGGCCUUAAGGUGGUUCUUAACAGGUGGCCACCCCCAACCCCCUAGAGGUUGGCAUGCAGUAACUGAUGCACAUGUUCACUCUAAGUGAGGCAACGCCCACAGGCACCUUCAGCUCCGGGGCUUCCUGUGCAGUCAGCUAAGGAAGUCAAGUCUGCAUCACAAUCUGACUUCUCCCUCUGCCCAAUCCUUUUCCCUUCUUUUUCACAGCUCUUAGUCUCAAGGGGUGCCCUAGGAACAUACUAAUAACUAAACAUUGUCUCAGGUCUGAGGCAAUGUUGGACAACCAAACCCAUGGCAGUGCUCUGUAAGACUACGGAGAUUUUUGUGGAGUUAAAACUAAUAGAGAGUAUGAAAACCUUGGUGGUUUUUUUUUUUUUUUUUGCAGAUGCAGUAUUCUGAGAAAGGGAUUAACAUGAUUAAAAAUGGUGGCCAAGAAAUAUGAUUCUUGUUGUUGCAUUGGAAGGCCUGGAAUUGUAAGAGGCUAAAAUAUAAAACAGACUGGGAAUUUGUUUCUGGAGUCUAAGAAUAAAAUCCACAGGCUAAAAGAGGGUUGCAGUUGGAAGGAAAAAAUAUAUAAUUGCUAUUUUUCAAAAGGAAUUGGAAAGAUUUGGUGUCAACCUGGAUGUGAGGAUGAAGACAAGCCAGCUAGAAUAAAUAUUGAUUCCAAGAUUGAGGGCAGAGCUUUCUGGGAGGGACACUGAUGGGAACGGAAAAAAUGGAAAAAGACUUAGUGAAGAAGAUAAUAUCCUCAAGUUUUGACAUCUCUAAUUUAAAAUGUCAACAAGCUAUUUACAAGGAAGUUUCUUUGUGUUGGGAGUCACCUUAGCUGUCCAGCCAUAUUAAGGGGCUGCAGUACAGUCAUGGAGGCUAUAACCUGCACUGUGGUACCAUGCCCAGGGUAAAGGGAGGCUGAGCUCUGGCCAGUGUGGGGCUGCACGUGCCAGGUAGAAAGGAUGCCUUUUCUGACUGGCACAAAGGUGUUGUGUGAGCUAGUAGGGGGCCUGGCCAUUAUCUCAAAAUCGGCAAAAGAGGCAGUUGAUUCCGGAUGAAAUGCACAAAUUUGGUUUAUUAGAGAUGGGAAGUUAAUGAAGGAGGAAAGGCUUUACUAAGUUAGAUUUCUUUAGGGUCAGAGACUAUGCAAGUCACGUAGACCUUCUGAAUCUCAUUUUUCUUAUUUGUGUGGCAGGAUACUUUCCUAUUCUCACCCCCUCACAGCUUCCUCAUACCAAGAUAUGAUAACUGAAUAAGAUAUUUGCAAGGCAGAGAAAAGAGGUGGAGAUGCUUAGCCUAAGGAAUGUGCUAGACUUAUGCAAAGAAGGGAUUCUGUGCUUACCUAACAGAUAAUUUACCCUGUAACUGGACUAGGCAGGUCACCAUUUUCUUCAUUCUCUCCUUGUAUAUGCGGGAUCUAAUCAUCUGGACGUAUCCACAGAGAGAGGAGCCAGAUGAAAUGCAGAAAGCAUGGUCGCCUUAAAGAGGAAGAAGUAAGACUGGAGUUUCAAGCUGAGGCAUGAAAGGUACCGAUU
rnacentral:lncRNA from 1 species